rnacentral:miRNA from 1 species
UAAUGCCCCUACAAAUCCCUAU